CCUGUGCAGAGUAAUUUGUAGUAAUGACAAUUUUAGAGAGAUAGAGUAACUUAGGGAAGAGUUUUGGUCGGCCGUGAUCCUUCUUUGUGAAAACGAAAGUAAACUUUUAAAUAUUAGUUCAGUACAGAGAAGGAUAACAGUCCAUCCGUGUCUUAAUCUUUAUUUGUGUUAAAUACAACAAACACAGUACAGCUGUUGCUUUACACUUCAUUGCUGAAAACGUCUUUCCAUUAAAAUGUCACUGCAAAUGCUGCUCUCUGAAGGCUGAAGGUGCGCUCAUCACAUCACAGGGACGCAAAGCAUAUCUUGCCAGCUUGCUCAUACAUGUAAUAUUGACCUAAAUAUCUGGGGGAACUGAAGUUGCUGAGGCGUGUCGGAAGCAGCAGAUGGAGACGAAUCGCACCUCCUAACUGCGAGUAAUGGAGCAGAACAAAGACACUUCAGCUGCCUCGUCUCAAGGAGGCGGGGGAAUAAAUCUGUCGAAAGCAUCGUGCUCUGUCGAGAGAGAUCGGAGCACAACGGGAAGGGAAAUUCUCAUAUGGGGAAAUUCCACACACAGCAUUUAUAGCAGCAGGGAUUAAGGAUUUUUGUAAUCCGUCGAGUGUUUUAAAACAGGUUUUUAAAAAUAACAGAUCAAAUGACAUAAGAGCCUGGACUGUGUAUAGAAAAUACCAUCACACCUUAGUUGACAGACAGAAUACAUGUCAAUACAAAUCCUUAUAAACAUGAUCAACACCUUGUUAAAAAAGGAAUAUUCAGUCAUGUCUUACUCAUGUCUCAUAGCUUUUAAGAUUUAUGCUUUUUGAAAGACAUAUGACUAUAUACUUAAUAUGGAUGGAAAAAAGCGUCACAAAAAAAAAGUUUUUUUUAAAAGUGUCACGUUGGUUUUAAACAAUGUGAGGAUGAGUAAAUUAUGCUACUUGGGGUAAAUUCUUCUAAAAGAAAAAUGCGAAAACAGAGACACUGCAGUGUUUCUUAGUAUGUGAUUAAGUCAAGGAGUGCCUUGCUUUUUCAUAAAGAAAAAUGUUUCUUUCCACUUUUUCCAUGCUUCAAAAAAUACAAAAAACACACAGGUGAGGUGAGAGACAUGGCACGCAACUACCUGUUCAUUCCAGUGCCAUUUAAAAACCGACACUAUCUAUACUGGACAUGAGCAGCAUAUUGUGACUUAUCAUAAGUCAACCGUUCUCAUUAUAAUCAAAGAACUGUCUGCACUGGAAGCAUCUGAUGCAACUUUAGUUGACCAACAUCUGUUCAGCUCAUUUUUUAACAACUUGCCAUAUCGACCAUAUCGAAUUUUCAUUACUGUAAUAAGAACAUGUCAUUUGCAUAACUGUAAUACAGUAAUAAUAAUCUGACAAUCCUCCUGUCUGUAGACGGUUUUAUCGGACGCAUGUGCCUGACCCCAAGUUAACUUCUGGUCUGUGUUUGUUGAUCGAAAAAAUCCACAGGGACUCUAUUCUUUGCGCAUGUGUUCCGGAAGUUAAGUUUGGGCCACAAAAGCGCGCAUUGCCAGGUUUCCUGUGAACAGCAGUUCUGCCCUUAGUCUUCCUCCCGGCAGCCCUUACCUCACAUCUGAAUGGAAAUCUGUGCUGCUUAUCCAGCUCCAACGACAACCUGUUCCUAUGCUUUCCUUGAACUCUGAUGGGGGAAACACUUAGGACUGAAUCCUAACAAGCGACUAGACAUUUGUAGGUCCAUGCUGAACAUAAAAAUGAGACUGGAGCAAUCGACACAAUCAAUCACAAAUAACAGCCAAUCAAAACAAAGCUUUGACAGAUUUUCUCAGUUCUGAAGGCUGCCAAACAAUGAACACAAACUUUAAUUUUCAAGACUUUCAUGAUUAUACCCCAGAUUGCUGUUAUGAUUUUUGUUGGGUGACUUUGUUGAGGAAAGCGUCAGUAUACAUAUUACACAUUGCGUCUUUAGUUGUGUUUAGGUAAAGUGAUCAUUUUGUUUCAUUCUGUGAACUACUAGCAAUAUAUUUCCCAAAGUUCAAAUAAA